CAGUGAACCGAGAUCAGGCCACUGCACUCCAGCCUGGGUGACAGAGCUAAACUCCGUCUCAAAAAAAAAAAAAGACUGGAACAGCUACGCAUUAAAUGUUAGGGGUCUGGGUGGGGCCUGUCUCUGUCCCGUGUGUGUGUGUGUGUAUGUCUGUGUUACACAUGUGCUCUCGGAUGUGACAGCCAUGUCCUGUUCUUGUUUACACAUAACACAGUUUGCCACGUGUCAAGUGGGAGCUGAAGGAUGUGCUGCACCCAUUCCUGGACCUGGGAUACACAGGAAGGUGCAGCAAGCGUUGUUUUUGGAAGUUCUACAAUGACCAUGACUGGUUUUAUGUGGACAAGUAUAAAAAUGAAGGCCUAGCUUCCCUCUCCGUAGUGGUGUCGGGUGAAGGCAGGGGUCUGGGUCGGCUCCUGGUCCACCUUGCCUGCUACGUGGCUAGGUGCUGGGGCUGGUCCCACCUCCCCCACCACAACGCCCCCGGCACCCCAGGUCCCCGAUUCCAGGCCACAGCUGUGGAGCCAUUAGCGGGCUGGGCGUUGCGCAGGUACCGACUCGCGCCGGGAGGGGGCGCUGUUCCCUAACCUGUUCCGAGUCGGCCCCGGGUCCUGACGCCGCCCGCGCGCGUUCACGCUGCAGGUGCGGAGUUCUCGCAGUGGGCCUGGGCCGCGUGCUUGACCGGGAGUGGGGAGGACGAAGCUAGCCGCCCUCGGGAUGGGCAGAGUCGGUCGUCCUCGCAGCCCCUACCUGCCACCGCACUCGGGAGGGUCAGGCCGCACACAGGUCAGACCUCCAUUCUUCCUGAUGAAAUAAUGAAGACCCUAUCUUCCUGAAAGUUGAUACUGUACCCACAGGCUGUGGAAAGGACAUCACAAACGCAGGCAGAGGGCCUGCCACAGCUGCAGAGAGGUCCUAGCCAUGUGUGUCCUAGCUGCUGUCCACGCCCAUCCCUGGCACCUUCGCUGAGGGAAGAAACUCAGGCACAUACAGGCUGCCGCCCACUCAGACUUUAUUCAAAGACCAGGGGGUACGG